rnacentral:rRNA from 1 species
GACGAACGCUGGCGGCGUGCUUAACACAUGCAAGUCGAACGGAAAGGCCCUGCUUUCGUGGGGUGCUCGAGUGGCGAACGGGUGAGUAACACGUGAGUAACCUGCCCUUGACUUUGGUAUAACUUCAGGAAACUGGGGCUAAUACCGGAUAGGCGCUCCUGCUGCAUGGUGGUGGUUGGAUAGUUUCGGCGGUUGGGGACGGACUCGCGGCUUACUAGCUUGUGGGUGGGGUAGUGGCUUACCAAGGCUUUGACGGGUAGCCGGCCUGAGAGGGUGACCGGCCACAUUGGGACUGAGAUACGGCCCAGACUCCUACGGGAGGCAGCAGUGGGGAAUAUUGCACAAUGGGCGGAAGCCUGAUGCAGCAACGCCGCGUGCGGGAUGACGGCCUUCGGGUUGUAAACCGCUUUCGCCUGUGACGAAGCGUGAGUGACGGUAAUGGGUAAAGAAGCACCGGCUAACUACGUG